CAGAUCAAAACACUGACAGAAUCCAUGGAUGGCAGGCUUUUGAGUGUCCUUGCAAAGAAAGGUGGCUAUAUUGGUCACUGAUUUGUUUUUGUUUUGUUUUUGAAUGUCAGAAAUGUAUAUUUGUGAAUGUUGAGAUGUUAUAUUGGUUUCACUGGUAAUAAUAAAUAAUUGAAAUGGGUAUAUAUUUGUUUUUUGUUAAGUUGCCUAAUAAUUAUGCACAGUAAUAGUCACCUGCACACACAGAUAUCCCCCUAACAUAGUUAAAACUAAAAACAAACUAAAAACUACUUCCAAAAAUAUUCAGCUUUGAUAUUAAUGAGUUUUUUGGGUUCAUUGAGAACAUGGUUGUUGUUCAAUAAUAAAAUUAAUCCUCAAAAAUACAACUUGCCUAAUAAUUCUGCACUCCCUGUAUAGCCUCGCUAUUCUGAUACAUAAGUUAGUUUAGCAUACGUACCUUUCUAAUCUACAACUGUUUAUUAAGCAUGACCACGAUAUCUAUGUUCCUAGCUAGGCAUACAGCUGCCAUAACGUUUCAUUGCUCCUCUUCUACUCAUGUCUUUUGACAGAUUGUCCAUUUUGCUUAUUAUAAUGUUUAGCAAUUCAGCAGGCUACUAAUCUACGUCAGUCAUGUCAAUUUAUUUCUUGUAAACACACCUCUUGCUAUUGUUACUCGCAUUUACUAACCAGAUACUCAGCAUUACUCUAACAAUUUUAAAAAAAUGUGUGCAGUUUAAUCCCAAGUCACAGUAUUGUCAGCUUUGCGAAGGCAUGUAAUCGCU